GACGAACGCUGGCGGCGUGCUUAACACAUGCAAGUCGAACGGACAGGCCCUGCUUUUGUGGGGUGCUCGAGUGGCGAACGGGUGAGUAACACGUGAGUAACCUGCCCUUGACUUUGGGAUAACUUCUGGAAACUGGGGCUAAUACCGGAUAGGAGCUCCUGCUGCAUGGUGGGGGUUGGAAAGUUUCGGCGGUUGGGGAUGUACUCGCGGGUUAUCAGCUUGUUGGUGGGGUAGUGGCUUACCAAGGCUUUGACGGGUAGCCGGCCUGAGAGGGUGACCGGCGAAAUUGGGACUGAGAUACGGCGCAGACUCCUACGGGAGGCAGCAGUGGGGAAUAUUGCACAAUGGGCGGAAGCCUGAUGCAGCAACGCCGCGUGCGGGAUGACGGCCUUCGGGUUGUAAACCGAUUUCGCCUGUGACGAAGCGUGAGUGACGGUAAUGGGUAAAGAAGCACCGGCUAACUACGUG
rnacentral:rRNA from 1 species